UACGUAGGGGGCGAGCGUUGUCCGGAUUUACUGGGCGUAAAGAGCGCGUAGGCGGUGAGUUUAGUCGUGCGUGAAAUACCUCGGCUCAACCGGGGGGUGUCGUGCGAUACUGGCUCACUCGAGGCUGGUAGGGGGAAGUGGAAUUCCCGGUGUAGUGGUGGAAUGCGUAGAUAUCGGGAGGAACACCAGUGGCGAAGGCGGCUUCCUGGACCAGUCCUGACGCUGAGGCGCGAAAGCGUGGGGAGCGAACUGA
rnacentral:rRNA from 1 species